rnacentral:rRNA from 1 species
AACACAUGCAAGUCGAGCGGCAGCGCGGUAGCAAUACUGGCGGCGAGCGGCGGACGGGUGAGCAAUGCUUGGGAAUCUGCCUAUCAGUGGGGGACAACCCGGGGAAACUCGGGCUAAUACCGCAUACGUUCUUCGGAAGAAAGCAGGGGAUCGCAAGACCUUGCGCUGAUAGAUGAGCCCAAGUCGGAUUAGCUAGUUGGUGAGGUAAUGGCUCACCAAGGCGACGAUCCGUAGCUGGUCUGAGAGGACGACCAGCCACACCGGAACUGAGACACGGUCCGGACUCCUACGGGAGGCAGCAGUGGGGAAUAUUGGACAAUGGGCGAAAGCCUGAUCCAGCGACGCCGCGUGGGUGAAGAAGGCCUGCGGGUUGUAAAGCCCUUUCGUUGGGGAAGAACAGUGUCGACCUAACACGUCGGCACCUUGACGUUACCCAAAGAAGAAGCACCGGCUAACUCUGUGCCAGCAGCCGCGGUAAUACAGAGGGUGCGAGCGUUAAUCGGAAUUACUGGGCGUAAAGCGCACGUAGAUGGCUUCGUAAGUCGGAUGUGAAAUCCCCGGGCUUAACCUGGGAACUGCAUUCGAAACUGCGUUGCUCGAAUGUGGAAGAGGGAAGCGGAAUUCCAGGUGUAGCGGUGAAAUGCGUAGAUAUCUGGAGGAACAUCAGUGGCGAAAGCGGCUUCCUGGUCCAACAUUGACAUUCAGGUGCGAAAGCGUGGGGAGCAAACAGGAUUAGAUACCCUGGUAGUCCACGCCAUAAACGAUGCGAACUAGAUGUCGAGAGGGUCAGCCUCCCGGUGUCGCAGCUAACGCGGUAAGUUCGCCGCCUGGGGAGU